rnacentral:rRNA from 1 species
GACGAACGCUGGCGGCGUGCUUAACACAUGCAAGUCGAACGGAAAGGCCCCUUUGGGGGUCCUCGAGCGGUGAACGGGUGCGUAACACGUACGUAACCUGCCCCUGCCUUCGGGAUAACUUCAGGUAACUGGGGCUAAUACCGGUUAGGAAUCAUUGCUGCAUGCUGGGGGUUGGAAAGCUUCGGCGGUUUUGGAUGGACUCGCGGCUUAUCAGCUUGUUGGUGGGGUAAUGGCUUACCAAGGCUUUGACGGGUAGCCGGACUGGGGGGGCGACCGGCCAUAUUGAGUCUGAGGUACGGCCCAGGCUGCGACGGGAGGGAGAAGGGGGGAAUAUUGACCGAGGGGCGGAGGGCGGGUGCAGCAACGCCGCGGGCGGGAUGACUGCCUUCGGGUUGUAGACCGCUUUCAGCAGGAGCGAUGCUUGUGGUGACGGUACCUGCAGAAGAAGCACCGGCUAACUACGUG